rnacentral:rRNA from 1 species
GACGAACGCUGGCGGCGUGCUUAACACAUGCAAGUCGAACGCUGAAGCCCUUUCGGGGGUGGAUGAGUGGCGAACGGGUGAGUAACACGUGGGUAAUCUGCCCUGUACUUCGGGAUAAGCCUUGGAAACGGGGUCUAAUACCGGAUAGGACCUGUCCUCGCAUGGGGGUGGGUGGAAAGUUCCGGCGGUAUGGAAUGAGCCCGCGGCCUAUCAGCUUGUUGGUGGGGUAGUGGCCUACCAAGGCGACGACGGGUAGCCGGCCUGAGAGGGUGACCGGGCACACUGGGACUGAGACACGGCCCAGACUCCUACGGGAGGCAGCAGUGGGGAAUCUUGCGCAAUGGGCGAAAGCCUGACGCAGCAACGCCGCGUGGGGGAUGACGGCCUUCGGGUUGUAAACCUCUUUCGACAUCGACGAAGGGGCCCUGUUGUGGGGUUUUGACGGUAGGUGUAGAAGAAGCACCGGCUAACUACGUGCCAGCAGCCGCAGUAA